UACAGAGGGUGCGAGCGUUAAUCGGAAUUACUGGGCGUAAAGGGCGCGUAGGCGGUUAUAUAAGUUAGGUGUGAAAUCCCCGGGCUUAACCUGGGAAUGGCAUUUAAUACUGUAUGACUGGAGUAGAAUAGAGGAGAGUGGAAUUUCCGGUGUAGCGGUGAAAUGCGUAGAUAUCGGAAAGAACACCAGUGGCGAAGGCGACUCUCUGGAUUCAUACUGACGCUGAGGCGCGAAAGCGUGGGUAGCAAAC
rnacentral:rRNA from 1 species